rnacentral:rRNA from 1 species
CGCCAAACAGCUAGCCCAACCAACCAAAAAUAACAAGCCCCCAUUAAUACCCCCAAAUACACCACAUUAAUAACAAACAAACCAUUUUUCCCCCUUAGUAUGAGCGACAGAAAAGGGUCCAGGAGCAAUAGAGAAAGUACCGCAAGGGAACGCUGAAAGAGAAAUGAAAUAACCCAGUAUAAGCCCUAAAAAGCAGAGAUUACAGCUCGUACCUUUUGCAUCAUGAUUUAGCCAGUAAAAUUCAAGCAAAGAGUGCUUUAGUUUGACUUCCCGAAACUAUGUGAGCUACUCCAAGCCAGCCUAACAUAGGGCGCCCCCGUCUCUGUUGCAAAAGAGUGGAAAGAGCUUUGAGUAGAGGUGACAGACCUACCGAACCUAGUUAUAGCUGGUUGCCUGAGAAUUGGAUAGAAGUUCAGCCUCCCGGCUUCUUUCUUCACUUUUUAAUAUUGAACAUCUGUUCCUUGUCCGAUGCCUAAAGAAACCGUGAGAGUUAGUCAAAGGGGGUACAGCCCCUUUGAAACAAGACACAACUUUUCCAGGAGGGUAAAGAUCAUAAUAAAUCAAAGGUAUUAUAUCACAGUGGGCCUAAAAGCAGCCAUCCCUACAGAAAGCGUUAUAGCUCAGAUAUACCCCCGCCCUACCAUCCUGAUAAUUUAAUCUUAGCCCCCUAAUCCUACCAGGCCGUCCCAUGCAAGCAUGGGAGCGACUAUGCUAAUAUGAGUAAUAAGAGAACACCCGCUUCUCUCCUUGCACACGUGUAAAUCGGAACGGACCCCCCACCGAACCUUAACGGCCCCAAACAAAGAGGGCACUGAACAACAAAACAGAUGACCAGAAAACUAUUCACACAGCCAACCGUUAACCCCACACUGGUGUGCCCCCCGGGAAAGACUAAAAGAAAAAGAAGGAACUCGGCAAACACCUAAAGCCUCGCCUGUUUACCAAAAACAUCGCCUCUUGCAAGAUUAACGAAUAAGAGGUCCUGCCUGCCCUGUGACUAUAGGUUCAACGGCCGCGGUAUUUUGACCGUGCAAAGGUAGCGCAAUCACUUGUCUUUUAAUUGAAGACCUGUAUGAACGGCUCCACGAGGGCUUAGCUGUCUCCUUUUUCAAGUCAAUGAAAUUGGUCUCCCCGUGCAGAAACGGGGAUAUACACAUAAGACGAGAAGACCCUAUGGAGCUUUAAGACACAAGCAACUCAUGUCAAGCACCCCAAAAUAAAGGACUAAACUAAAUGAACCUUGCCCUAGUGUCUUUGGUUGGGGCGACCGCGGGGUAACAUAAAACCCCCACGUGGAAUGGGAACAUUAUAAACCUUCAUCCUACAGCUAAGAGCUCCCGCUCUAGUAAACAGAAAUUCUGACCAGUGAGAUCCGGCAAAGCCGAUCAACGGACCGAGUUACCCUAGGGAUAACAGCGCAAUCCCCUUUUAGAGCCCCUAUCGACAAGGGGGUUUACGACCUCGAUGUUGGAUCAGGACAUCCUAAUGGUGCAGCCGCUAUUAAGGGUUCGUUUGUUCAACGAUUAAAGUCCUACGUGAUCUGAGUUCAGACCGGAGAAAUCCAGGUCAGUUUCUAUCUAUGAUAUGAUCUUUUCUAGUACGAAAGGGCCGAAAAGAAGAGGCCUAUGCUUAAAGUACGCCUCACCCUUACCUAAUGAAAACAACUAAAAUAGGCAAAAGGGCAUACUCCUCUGUCUGAGAGAAUGACAU